CCACAGGGUGGGGAUGGAGGCGGAGCGGAGACUCACCGAACCGUUCUCCCCUUCCUCCCUGCCCAG
rnacentral:miRNA from 1 species